rnacentral:antisense_RNA from 1 species
CUGGCAAGCCAGCUCCCACAGGGUUCUAUGGUGAACAUAAUUUUCAGGUACAUCCGCAGAACCUGUGGGAGCUGGCUUGCCAG